rnacentral:lncRNA from 1 species
CCGUGUUCAUGGUGAAGGGCAGGCGGUGGAGAUGUGAAGUCCAGGCACUGUUCAAGGUAAGCACCGAAGCCAUUGCUCAUUCAUAUAAUUUUUGGAUCCCAAUUCUUUGAUCCGUGUCUGUUUAUUUCUGGUAUAUGAUGAGUUGAUGUAAUAAACAAAAUUCAUGAUAAGCCAUUGCUGAUGUUUGACCUACUUAAUUCCUCCUUUUUUUGUACGAAUUGCAGUCAGGUAAUUCUGCAGGUUGUGGCAUUGCAAGAAUUUUCAUUAUUGGGUAGAUGGAGCAUAUAAUUUCUUCUAAUUUACUCCAAAACCAAGAUUUAAGAAAUCAGGUUCUCUCCUUUUUUUUGUAACAAUGUUGCCAAAAUAGCAAU